AUUGAACGCUGGCGGCAUGCUUUACACAUGCAAGUCGAACGGUAACAGGCCGCCAGGUGCUGACGAGUGGCGAACGGGUGAGUAAUGCAUCGGAACGUGCCCAGUCGUGGGGGAUAACUACUCGAAAGAGUAGCUAAUACCGCAUACGAUCUAUGGAUGGAAGCGGGGGACCGUAAGGCCUCGCGCGAUUGGAGCGGCCGAUGUCAGAUUAGGUAGUUGGUGGGGUAAAGGCUCACCAAGCCAACGAUCUGUAGCUGGUCUGAGAGGACGACCAGCCACACUGGGACUGAGACACGGCCCAGACUCCUACGGGAGGCAGCAGUGGGGAAUUUUGGACAAUGGGCGCAAGCCUGAUCCAGCAAUGCCGCGUGCAGGAAGAAGGCCUUCGGGUUGUAAACUGCUUUUGUACGGAACGAAACGGCUCUGGUUAAUACCCGGGGCUAAUGACGGUACCGUAAGAAUAAGCACCGGCUAACUACGUG
rnacentral:rRNA from 1 species